UUCCAUUAUGUUACUGCAAAAGAGAAGUACGGCAUCUUACUGCAUUUUUGUUAAAGUAUUUUAAUCUUUAAAAAAAUUUACCGAGUCAGUGGUAUCUUUUCUUCAUCUGGACAAACCACCAUCCUAGCAGGCUGUCCCAAUCAAGCAGAGCUGUUGUACUACAGAAUCUUCAUGAAAAGUUUACUGAAGCAGAUUAUGACUUAAACCUAGUGUGAGGGGAUCCCCGGCAUGCAGUUUGGGACUGUGGGGCCGCUGUUUCCCCUUAACUCUUCAGCCUGGGCUGUCUCUCACAGUGUUUUCAUACAGACAAGCAGGAAACCUCUCCAGGAGCUGUGAUCACUCAGCACAACAGCAUGUGGAGCCGCACACCCAGCUAGAUUGCAUGAAUGCUCCCAGAGCCACUCAUGAAUCACAUAGAGAAAGGCACCAACCAAAUCCCCCCAACUCCCAGCUUUGUACCUCAGGAAUAUACCAUCUUGCACUGCUCAGGACCAGCAAUGACCUUGCCAAUGAGGGGGAAUGGGGGAAAGACAUAGAGGAGUUGACCUGACCAUGACACGAAAGCAUCUGAGAUCGCAUUCCUCCCCACCCAUCCUCUCAAACAGAAUUGGUGGCAAUGCCAGUUCUGUCAGGUCGCAAACAAGUCUACUUGGGGAGUGCCCCAUGCUCAGAAGAGCUGGUCCUUGCCAUCAAAGGGAAGAUCCUGCAUCACAGACUGUGCUUCCAUGGAGAGUCUGGAUAGCAGUAGCCACAAAGCCCUGCACAUGGACACCGCCGAGACCAUGGACCGAGUAGCUAUGUCAGCUGCAUCAGAUGCUGUCGGCAGAGCAGCCUUUGCAGCAGCGGUACCCUCCUCAACAAGUGCCUUAAACUCCUUCCUUUCACGUUCUGGGUUCAAAUUUCAGCAGUGAUCCGCCCCAAGUUUAAACUCAUAACAGCUAAGGAGGGCUUGGUGGCUGGCCACCCGGAGCUGGAAA